rnacentral:misc_RNA from 1 species
AGCAGCCGCGGUAAUUCCAGCUCCAAUAGCGUAUAUUAAAGUUGCUGCAGUUAAAAGCUCGUAGUUGAAUUUCGGGACCAUCAUGUUGGUCGUGCCUCGGUACGUACUGGCUUAUAGGUUUCCCCCCUUCUGACGAACCAUGAUGUCAUUAAUUUGGUGUCUUGGGGAAUCAGGACUGUUACUUUGAAAAAUUAGAGUGUUUAAAGCAGGCUCACGCUUGAAUACAUUAGCAUGGAAUAAUGAAAUAGGACGUUUGAUUCUAUUUUGUUGGUUUCUAGGAUCGACGUAAUGAUUAAUAGGGAUAGUUGGGGGCAUUAGUAUUCAAUUGUCAGAGGUGAAAAUUCUUAGG